ensembl:lincRNA Meg3 maternally expressed 3
GAGAUGGGCUGCGGGACCAUGGGUUCAUUUACCUAAGGGGAAAUGUUAGUAGAUACCUGGGUUCACUAAGGCUCUCUCUUCAGGGAUGACAUCAUCGGCUCACACCAGUUUUCCAGGACCACCUUCUGGAUGCCAAGGCUGCUGCUCGAGUACCUGCUGUGCACCUCUACCUCCUGAGCCAAGGAGCAUGGAUUCCAGGAACGCACUACCAUACAGAGCAACUCCUUGUGGACCCCUCUGGGAUCAGGACAGCGAGGGACAAGCGACAAAGAGGACCAUCAGUGGCCAGCUAGUCUCUCUGGGGUUCAAACCUUGAACCAGUGCCCUAGUGAGGGGGCACUGGCCAUGGCCCUUGACCUUUGCUCUGCUUGUGUCUUGAGUCUGAGUCCUUUCCUGUACAUCUGUGCUUGUGUUCAUCUGCUAGUGAACUGGAGUGCUGCCCUCCCCGAGGGGGGUC